rnacentral:rRNA from 2 species
CGCGGCCCUAUCACUUGUUGGUGAGGUAACGGCUCACCAAGGCGACGACGGGUAGCCGGCCUGAGAGGGCGACCGGCCACACUGGGACUGAGACACGGCCCAGACUCCUACGGGAGGCAGCAGUGGGGAAUAUUGCACAAUGGGCGAAAGCCUGAUGCAGCGACGCCGCGUGAGGGAUGACGGCCUUCGGGUUGUAAACCUCUUUCAGCAGGGAAGAAGCGAAAGUGACGGUACCUGCAGAAGAAGCGCCGGCUAACUACGUGCCAGCAGCCGCGGUAAUACGUAGGGCGCAAGCGUUGUCCGGAAUUAUUGGGCGUAAAGAGCUCGUAGGCGGCUUGUCACGUCGGGUGUGAAAGCCCGGGGCUUAACCCCGGGUCUGCAUCCGAUACGGGCAGGCUAGAGUGUGGUAGGGGAGAUCGGAAUUCCUGGUGUAGCGGUGAAAUGCGCAGAUAUCAGGAGGAACACCGGUGGCGAAGGCGGAUCUCUGGGCCAUUACUGACGCUGAGGAGCGAAAGCGUGGGGAGCGAACAGGAUUAGAUACCCUGGUAGUCCACGCCGUAAACGUUGGGAACUAGGUGUUGGCGACAUCCACGUCGUCGUGCCGCAGCAGCAAUGAGCUG